rnacentral:rRNA from 1 species
AUAAGUAACUUGCCUCGAAGAUCGGGAUAGCCGCGGGAAACUGCGAGUAAUACCGGAUGUGACGAGUGGGGGGCAUCCCCUGCUCAUUAAAUGGUUUUUCGCUUCGAGAGCGGCUUAUGACACAUCAGCUAGUUGGUGGGGUAAAGGCCUACCAAGGCGACGACGUGUAGGGGGUCUGAGAGGAUGAUCCCCCCGAGUGGGACUGAGACACGGCC